CAACAGGAAGAUGACUUGCUCGUGAACUUGUGGGAUGCCUGCCACAGCAUGGCUUGCCAAGCGGUGUGUAGGUCCAAACUGGCGAACCUGGAGCCGCGAAAGCAGAGCAUGUGAACUUAACCAUUACGCCGCCAGGUCAGCCCCUGGAGAAGAGAGUUUUGAGAAAACCAGAGAUGUAGCUUUAUUACUGGGUUAAUGAUAGCAGCAAUGCCAGGACUGCUGAGGACUCCUGUGUGCCAGGAGGGCGCAGAGCAUUGCCCCUGCCCAUCCUGGUUUAAUCCUCACCUGAAUCCUAGGGGCAGGGACAUUUCUGUCAUGCCGUUCACAGACGAGGAAACGGGCUCAGAGGACACGAAGGGCUUUCUCCAGUCUCAACGCUAAAAUGGCAGGCCUGGGGAUUUGAAGCCUGUCUCUGGGUGAGAUCUGAGCCUUGCCUAUAGCACGAGGAUGGAAGAAAAAGUGGAGCUUUUCUUCCCACUUACUGGAGACGCUUUUGAGGUUGGAUUUUUGCCUUGGAUUUGGCCUUGACCCUCAGUAUGUAAAUCCGCAGAGGAAAGACUGGGCCUUCCUGACACUCCUGCUCUCUCAGGAUUUCCUUCUCAGGAUCGGAGCCCACAGGUCAGACGAGGACUUGAACUCUCAUCUACUGCUCUAGCUGCCAUAUCUUUUCCAACUGUUUCCCUUUCCUUUCGCCUAGUUGGUUAUUUACAGAAAUAACACAGCAUAGGAGAGGCUAAGAAUGAAGGAGAGCGAGCAAAUAAGAAUGAAUGCAAGAGAGAAUGAAAAGGGACAAACGAGAGUGAAGAAGAGACGAUUAAGGGAAGAGAGAGAGGGUGAAAGGAAAAGAAAAAGAGAACAAGAAAGAUCAGGCUGUGAAGUCACCCAGACGUGGUUUGAAUCGUUGCUUUUACUGGCUGUACCAUUUUGAGUAAAGCUCUCUAAUUCAGUUCCGCAUCGUAGAACAAGGGUGGUCCUGUUUAGAGGAUUGUCCUGAGGAUCAAAUAGAAUAUUGUCUAUGCCUUUCCUGCCACCCAAUGAGCGCUUAAUAAACCUCCCUCCUUCCUUCCUCCGCUCUCCUUCCUUCUUUCCUUCCUUCCUGCUUUCCUUCCUUUCUUCCUUCCUUCUUUCCUUCCUUUCUUCCUUCCCUCCUUCCCUUCCCCCUUUCUCCCCGACUCCCCUCAUCAAGGACCACCUAAACCCCUGGCACAAUUCAAGACAUCUCUACAAAUGUUGCCAGUUUAGUCCUUGAAACAACUCAUGAAUUACAUGGCAUUAUAUUCUCAUUUUACGAUGAGGCCUAGAGAGAGACAUUAUAAGCUAGGAUCAUCCAGCAGCUGACUGUCCCACCAGAAUUCCAAUGCAGAUCUGUCUUUCUCCACUCCUAACAAAAGGAAAACUAAGGUGGCCAUCUCAACUGAUGGGCGUUUAGAGUUUUCUUCUUUAGCUGCUCCACCGGAGGGCUGUUGAGAAAAUUACCCAAAUCAUGUUAAUGAGCAGUUGAGUGCCGGAGUUUCUCUGAGGCAAGGCGGUGAACAAAAUCUCUGGUUGGCAACCGUUAGCUGUGAUCAUUAUCUCAGCUGAUACCACCAAGGGGCUCUCGGCUCAAAUAAUUAACUCAACUGCCUCCUCUCAGGGGUGAAGUGGGGCUAAUAAAACUUAACCACCUAGCUUGUGGGAAAAUGAUUCUGUGCUCAGUGAGGAAGUGCUUUCAAGACCAUCUGGCGCCGAGUGGUGGAGUGGUGCUGUCGUAGAAGCUGCGAUGGUGUGUUAAUUCUCUCUCCCUCUUUCUACCCUCGUGAAACUGAGAUCCUUGAGGGUAGGACCUACGUCUGCCUUAUGUAUCCUGAACCUACCCGAGAUGAGAGAGACGGAGGAACGCCACAUCACUCAAGAAAUGAGUUCAGCUGGUCUCCCAGAGCAGAAGUGGAAAAGGCUGUGUGGUGGGGCAGAAGGGAGUGAGUUCACCACGGGAGACAAGACUCGGAGUUCAAGUCUCUGGUUGGCUCAUGAGCUGGAUUAGGGGAUUAUGCACUCUUAACUUCGUAAUUGCAUGGGUGAAGGUCACGAAUCCUGGCACAGUUCUCAAUGGGGUCUGAGGCAGAUUGCAUCAAGUCCCUGGUGGGUGCAGAGUGGCAUGGCAGGUAAAUUUGUAUGUGCAUACAAGUUGGCAAGCGUUUUCAACAGUUUGUUUCCUAUCUCCAUUUCAUAGGAACUGAGACUGAGGCUCAGACAUUAAAUCGCUUUUCCAAGGCCUCAAAAUUAGCAGAAGAAAUAACAUUUAAACUCAGAUAUCUAAUCCCAUAUCUAUCCACUCAUUCACAAGGGCUAAAAGUUGAAGUGUGUACUGUGGAAGCACAGAGAAAGCAGUAAUUAAUUCCAGUUAAGGGGGGGAGGCUUCAUACAGGAGGCAGCCCGUGGGCUGAGCCUUGCGGUAUGAGGAGACUUUCCCCAGGGGGGAGCAGAGGAGGGCGCCCCUGCAGGGGACGAGCAGCAAGGCUGGCACACAGAAGGCCUGCAGGGUCUCAGGGAGAAAGCGCAGCGUGGCCAUCUGUCACGGGGCUGGUGAUGUCCUGGCCCUUUUCUACGGAGAAAGUAAAAGUUUGCACUCACUCAUCAUGAUUUUAAUCAGCAAGGAUGCAGCCCCUGGAGCUGACCGUGUGCUGCUACAGCCGAGGUCGCGGUUCAUCGCAGCAACAUGUGCCGUCGUUUUGCAGACGAGGAAACAGGACUCAGCCAGCUGAAGAAAUUUGCCUAUUGUCACUCAGGAAUGGUAGAGCCAGAAAUUGGCUUCCAAAUUUCAAGACCCAUGCUGCCCUUUCUACUAGACUGUCUUUAAACCAUCGCUGUGAGUACCUGUAGCCAGGCAGACUUUGGCCCUAGAGUUCUGGGCUGAAUCUGCUAGCUCACCUUCAGGUCAGGACGCCCUCUCUCACAGAGUGUGUCUGCCCAAUGAUGGUGAAUUCUAGAGUCUUCACUGGAGGUGGACAGGAGUGGGCCAGGGAGCUGACAUGGUCUCAUCCAUUUGUCCUUGCUGGAAGGGAGUUGAAGAGCUCCUUUCUUCCCUUUUCCUCCCCGAACCAAAUAAAUAGCACUCUCCCUCCCUCUGAGAAGCGUUCAUAGAUUCCUGUAAGGUAGAGAGGUGAGAGCCACUUAGGGGCAGGCAAUUGCCUUGGGAAGAUUCUGUGUAGCUCGUGUAUUUACAGUCACGCUAUGUGACCACUGGAAUCACUUCUCUGAACCUCAAUUUCCUUAUCUAUAAAACCAGCAGGGGGAGGGGUGGGAUAAUGCCUCCAGGAAAGUAAUAUAGCCAGAGGGCAAGAGCAUGGGCUCUGAAGAUGGAUUACCAGUGUCCAAAUCUUGCUUCUGCUGGCUCUGAGACCUUGGCCAGUUUACUUAACCUCAUUGUGCCUCAGUUUCCUUUAUUGUAAAAGGGGGAUGAAAAUGAUAUUACUUACACACUGGGGCUGCUGUGAGGAUUACAUAAUUAAUACAUAUAAAGCACUUAGUACAGGCUUUUAAAGGGCUGCUCUCAGGAUUCAAUAAAAACAAUUACUAGCAUUUGCGUCAUGAUACC
rnacentral:lncRNA from 1 species